CCUACGGGUGGCAGCAGUGAGGAAUAUUGGUCAAUGGGCGGGAGCCUGAACCAGCCAAGUAGCGUGAAGGAUGACAGCCCUACGGGUUUUAAACUUCUUUUAUAAGGGAAUAACGCGCCUCACGUGUGGGGUUUUGUAUGUACCUUAUGAAUAAGCAUCGGCUAAUUCCGUGCCAGCAGCCGCGGUAAUACGGAAGAUGCGAGCGUUAUCCGGAUUUAUUGGGUUUAAGGGGAGCGUAGGCGGUUCCAUAAGCCAGCGGUAAAAUCGUGCGGCUCAACCGUACCGUGCCGUGGAAACUGGGGGACUUGAGUAUGCGCAGAGUAGAUGGAAUUCGUGGUGUAGCGGUGAAAUGCUUAGAUAUGACGAAGAACUCCGAGCGCGAAGGCAGUGUGCCGGAGCGAGACUGACGCUGAGGCUCGAAAGUGCGGGUAUCGAACAGGAUUAGAUACCCUUGUAGUC
rnacentral:rRNA from 1 species